rnacentral:rRNA from 1 species
UACGUAGGGGGCAAGCGUUGUCCGGAAUUAUUGGGCGUAAAGCGCGCGCAGGCGGUUAUGUAAGUCUGAUGUUAAAGCCCGGGGCUCAACCCCGGUUCGCAUUGGAAACUGCGUAACUUGAGUGCAGAAGAGGAAAGUGGUAUUCCACGUGUAGCGGUGAAAUGCGUAGAUAUGUGGAGGAACACCAGUGGCGAAGGCGACUUUCUGGUCUGUAACUGACGCUGAGGCGCGAAAGCGUGGGGAGCAAACAGG